CUUCCCGACUCCCGAGUACAGACAACUCCACUGGCAUUGGCAUCAGUUCAUCAGCCUUCUCUAGUCUCCAAUGGCGUGCUCACUCCCGCUCCACGCCCCCCUCUCCUCGUCGCCUCGUGUCCUCUCCUACCUCCCCACGCCCAGAACCCUCCCUCUGUUCCGUCGAGGGCCUAGGGUUCCGCUCCACCGCCCCCCGUCCCCGCCUCGCGCGCUCCCGGACGUUGCUGCGGGGGCCGUGGCGGGCAUUCGGGACGCGCUCGCCGACGCCUUCCUGACGUCGCCGCCGACGUGGCGGACCGCCGCUGCCAGCAACCUCGUUGUCUUCGUCGCCGGAUCGCCGGUGCUCCUCUCGGGCCUCUCCGCCUCUGGCUUCGCCGCCGCCUAUCUCCUGGGCACCCUGACGUGGCGCGGGUUUGGGGCCCCGGGCUUCCUCGUCGUCGUCGCCUACUUCGUUGUGGGCACAGCGGUUACUAAGUUGAGGAUAAGACAGAAGGAAGCUCUGGGAGUAGCAGAGAAAAGAGGAGGAAGAAGAGGACCUGGAAGUGUUAUUGGUUCUAGCGCUGCCGGUUGUGUUUGUGCGCUACUAUCAAUAUAUCAUGCUGGUGGUACAGCAUCCUCUGAGCUCUGGAGACUGGGCUUUGUUGCUAGUUUCUGUACUAAACUAAGUGAUACAGUUUCAAGUGAAAUAGGGAAGGCUUUUGGAAGAACAACGUACCUGGUGACAACAUUAAAGGUUGUUCCUAGAGGUACAGAAGGUGCAAUCAGUAUUGAGGGUACUAUUGCUGGAAUUCUAGCGGCUGUGUUUCUUUCAGGUGUUGGUUAUCUUCUUGGGCAGGUGGAUGUAUUACAAGUUGCGGUAUGCGUUCUUGCCUCCCAGAUUGCGAAUUAUGUUGAGAGCUAUAUUGGGGCGACUUUACAAGACAAGGAAGGUUUUGAAUGGCUGAAUAACGAUAUUGUCAAUGUACUGAAUAUCUCUAUUGGUGCCAUAUUGGCUCUUCUAACGCAGCAGCUGCUUAUCCUUUUGUUGAGGAAGCAAGAAGGGCAUGCAGGACAUGCUUAGUAGCUUUGCAUUACCAGCCCGAAUGAGUCCAAUUCGGCUCGCUUGCGUUUAGCAACGCCAGGUCGCCACUCGCCAGCGGUUGUUUCCCGCUCUGCUUGUCCGACAUUUGAUGGGACAUGGUGCGUUGCGAGGUGACGCCGUUGCUGCUCAGCUCUGCCAAGCAUCACAUGGCUGCUUUUGUAGAGAAUCCGGUGUUGAUCGGUCAUCUCAGCAGUGACUCAGUCUGCUACUUGCUUCCUUCGGUACCACCAAUGCCUGAGUCAGACAGCUUUUUUCACGUCGGCUGGGAUGUGUAGUCCCGACCCACCUGGGUUGGGAUUUGGGAACUUGGGACUUGGGGAAUUGCAUGAUUCGUCUAUGGGCAAACGGCUCGUGCCGCCGUGCGGGUGCGGGUCGUGCACUCGGGCCGCUGCCGCAUAUGUUGCCGCCCGAAUGCUGACUGGUCACUGGUCCAUGUCGUGUGCCAUCCAUUUGAAGUCACACAGUGUUCGGAUUCCUGUCUUACCCUUUGGCCUUUGCUCUACGUCUACGUGUACAGUAUUUGUUUGCCCAUGAAGGUGUGUUCGGUGUUCCAUGUGGUUCUUCUUGGUACCAGCGAGGAAAUUGAAGAGUUGUCAUAUUUUCAGAGGAAUGGUGCUAGUCUAUACUCUAUUCAGCUAUCUGUUAAUGAAUUCUGAUAUUCGGUUUAUGCUA